CAGACAUGGAUCCUGCCCUCGA
rnacentral:piRNA from 1 species